GUAAUCACGGAAUAUCUGAAAUACAAUGUCAUAAAAAUACGCUCGGUCGCUCAAUGACACUUUUAAAUGAUUAGGUUCUCAUAUAUUGCAGUCGAAGAGUAGGACUCUCGACUUUAUUUUGGAUACGGUAUCAGCCGAACACUCCCUUGGACCAACCUUAGAGUUGUUGAAAGUAAAUGGCACUUUGGCAAUAGUGGGUGCACCGGACAAGCCCCUGGAACUACCAUCUUUCCCUUUGAUAUUAGGGAAGAGAGCUGUGAAGGGGAGCAUCAUAGGAGGCAUAAAAGAGACGCAAGAGAUGCUGGACGUAUGUGGGAAACAUAACAUAACGUGUGAGAUUGAGGUUGUCACGCCGAAUCAAAUUAAUGAAGCCUUUGAGCGACUCGCAAAAAAUGAUGUUAAAUACCGUUUUGUCAUUAACAUUUCCCGUAAAUCUUCAAAUCUUUAGAGGUUUUCUGCUCUGGUGCUUAUUCAGCAAUUCUGUCAAUUUU